rnacentral:rRNA from 1 species
AUGAGAAAUCCAACGGCGGCCGAUGCCGUCAGCGAGUUGGCGGAGCUGGUCCUCCCGUGGCUGCCGCCGCCCGACCUUGCCGCCGCGGCUUCCGCCAGCCGCGCCAUGCGAGCGGCCGCGUCUGCCGUCACCGCCCGCCGCGCCGCCGACUCGGCUCGCGGCCUGGAGGCCUUCCCUGCCCCCUUCGUCAACCCCAUCGACUCCCAGCCCUACUCCUACUUCAUCUACACGCCCUUCUCCCUCAUACCUUCCGCGGCCUCCUUCCACGCGCAGCCGUGGGGCUGCGCAUGGUCCCGGACUCCGGGUCCUACCUGGCCCCGCCCCGACCUAGGCCUCCCCUUGGCCGGCUGCUCGUGCGCCCGGGGGGAGUGCGGCGGCGCGGCGUGCGCGUGCGCCGACGCGGAGGCCGAGGCGGCGGAUGCGUCGGGGGCGGGUAUGGCGAGCCUCAGCGAGUGCGGCGACGGGUGCGCGUGCGGGCCCUCGUGCGAGAACCGGCGGACGCAGCGCGGCGUCACGGUGCGGCUGCGCGUCCUGCGCCAACUGAAGAAAGGGUGGGCGCUGCACGCCGCCGAGGUCAUUCACCGCGGCCAGUUCGUCUGCGAGUAUGCCGGUGAGUUCUUGACAACAGAAGAAGCCCGGAGGAGGCAUAGGCUGUAUGACGAGCUUGCCUCGGUUGGUAAGCUCUCUCCUGCACUCCUGGUCAUACGAGAGCAUCUUCCUUCUGGGAGAGUAUGCAUGCGAGUUAACAUUGAUGCAACAAAAGUGGGAAACGUGGCUCGUUUCAUCAACCAUUCAUGUGACGGAGGCAACCUGCGCCCUAUCUUAGUGAGGAGCUCUGGCUCGUUGCUCCCAAGGCUCUGCCUUUUUGCUGCCAGAGAUAUAGUGGACGGGGAAGAGCUCGCCUUCAGUUACGGGGAUGCUAAACCCAAUCCUAAGGGCUUACCGUGCUUCUGUGAAAGCUCGUGUUGCCCUGGUGUAUUACCUGCAGAAGAAACCUAA